rnacentral:rRNA from 1 species
UUCAGAGGGGGACAACAGUUGGAGACGACUGCUAAUACCGCAUAAUGUAUUCGGGAGGCAUCUUCUGGAUACCAAAGGAGAAAUCCGCUGAUGGAUGGGCUCACGUCUGAUUAGCUAGUUGGUGAGGUAACGGCUCACCAAGGCUGCGAUCAGUAGCCGGACUGAGAGGUUGAACGGCCACAUUGGGACUGAGAUACGGCCCAGACUCCUACGGGAGGCAGCAGUGGGGAAUAUUGGGCAAUGGGCGAAAGCCUGACCCAGCAACGCCGCGUGAAGGAAGAAGGCCUUCGGGUUGUAAACUUCUUUUAAGAGGGACGAAGAAGUGACGGUACCUCUUGAAUAAGCCACGGCUAACUACGUGCCAGCAGCCGCGGUAAUACGUAGGUGGCGAGCGUUAUCCGGAUUUACUGGGUGUAAAGGGCGCGUAGGCGGGAAUGCAAGUCAGAUGUGAAAUCCAAGGGCUCAACCCUUGAACUGCAUUUGAAACUGUAUUUCUUGAGUGUCGGAGAGGUUGACGGAAUUCCUAGUGUAGCGGUGAAAUGCGUAGAUAUUAGGAGGAACACCAGUGGCGAAGGCGGUCA